AUGAGAGUUUGAUCCUGGCUCAGGACGAACGCUGGCGGCGUGCCUAAUACAUGCAAGUCGAACGCUUCUUUCCUCCCGAGUGCUUGCACUCAAUUGGAAAGAGGAGUGGCGGACGGGUGAGUAACACGUGGGUAACCUACCCAUCAGAGGGGGAUAACACUUGGAAACAGGUGCUAAUACCGCAUAACAGUUUAUGCCGCAUGGCAUAAGAGUGAAAGGCGCUUUCGGGUGUCGCUGAUGGAUGGACCCGCGGUGCAUUAGCUAGUUGGUGAGGUAACGGCUCACCAAGGCCACGAUGCAUAGCCGACCUGAGAGGGUGAUCGGCCACACUGGGACUGAGACACGGCCCAGACUCCUACGGGAGGCAGCAGUAGGGAAUCUUCGGCAAUGGACGAAAGUCUGACCGAGCAACGCCGCGUGAGUGAAGAAGGUUUUCGGAUCGUAAAACUCUGUUGUUAGAGAAGAACAAGGACGUUAGUAACUGAACGUCCCCUGACGGUAUCUAACCAGAAAGCCACGGCUAACUACGUGCCAGCAGCCGCGGUAAUACGUAGGUGGCAAGCGUUGUCCGGAUUUAUUGGGCGUAAAGCGAGCGCAGGCGGUUUCUUAAGUCUGAUGUGAAAG
rnacentral:rRNA from 1 species